rnacentral:misc_RNA from 1 species
GAUGAAGAACGCAGCGAAAUGCGAUAAGUAAUGUGAAUUGCAGAAUUCAGUGAAUCAUCGAAUCUUUGAACGCACAUUGCGCCCGCCAGUAUUCUGGCGGGCAUGCCUGUCUGAGCGUCAUUUCAACCCUCAUGCCCCUAGGGCGUGGUGUUGGGGAUCGGCCAAAGCCCGCGAGGGACGGCCGGCCCCUAAAUCUAGUGGCGGACCCGUCGUGGCCUCCUCUGCGAAGUAGUGAUAUUCCGCAUCGGAGAGCGAUGAGCCCCUGCCGUUAAACCCCCAACUUUCCAAGGUUGACCUCAGAUCAGGUAGGAAUACCCGCUGAACUUAAGCAUAUCAAUAAGCGGGA